GCCGCGUGAGUGAUGAAGGCCUUCGGGUCGUAAAGCUCUGUUGUUAGGGAAGAACAAGUACCGUUCGAAUAGGGCGGUACCUUGACGGUACCUAACCAGAAAGCCACGGCUAACUACGUGCCAGCAGCCGCGGUAAUACGUAGGUGGCAAGCGUUGUCCGGAAUUAUUGGGCGUAAAGCGCGCGCAGGCGGUCUCUUAAGUCUGAUGUGAAAGCCCACGGCUCAACCGUGGAGGGCCAUUGGAAACUGGGGGACUUGAGUGCAGAAGAGGAGAGUGGAAUUCCACGUGUAGCGGUGAAAUGCGUAGAUAUGUGGAGGAACACCAGUGGCGAAGGCGGCUCUCUGGUCUGUAACUGACGCUGAGGCGCGAAAGCGUGGGGAGCAAACAGGAUUAGAUACCCUGGUAGUCCACGCCGUAAACGAUGAGUGCUAGGUGUUGGGGGGUUCCACCCUCAGUGCUGAAGUUAACACAUUAAGCACUCCGCCUGGGGAGUACGACCGCAAGGUUGAAACUCAAAGGAAUUGACGGGGGCCCGCACAAGCAGUGGAGCAUGUGGUUUAAUUCGAAGCAACGCGAAGAACCUUACCAGGUCUUGACAUCCUCUGCCACUCCUAGAGAUAGGACGUUCCCCUUCGGGGGACAGAGUGACAGGUGGUGCAUGGUUGUCGUCAGCUCGUGUCGUGAGAUGUUGGGUUAAGUCCCGCAACGAGCGCAACCCUUGAUCUUAGUUGCCAGCAUUAAGUUGGGCACUCUAAGGUGACUGCCGGUGACAAACCGGAGGAA
rnacentral:rRNA from 1 species